CCGGGUGGGAGCCUCCCCAAGUGGGUGGUGGGUUGAGGACAGGGUCUGGCCUCCAUCUGUGGGGACCUGGCUUUCCAGCCGUGAGAUCUUUCAGAUUGAUAGCUCAGUCCAUAUGGAAGAAGUACCUUUGGCACCAGGCCAGCCACCUCCAGACCCAGGAUCUCCUGGAAUCCUCUCAAUAUCCUGGCAGGUUGGGGUUUCCACCCCAAUUUGUACUUGGAGAAAAGGAAUUUCAGAAACAUCACCUAAUCACCUUGUCUAAGGCUGAACUCUGCCUGGAAAUACCUUCCUCACUCAAAAUCUUUUAAUGCCUCCAUCAUUCCUUUGUUCAACUGAUUUUCAUCACAUGCUCUUCUGAGUGCUGAGGGCUGGGGCAGUGAAUUAGGCAGACAAGGCCCUGCCUUCAUGGACCUGGUGUUCUAGUCGGUGGGGGGCAGACCAAGCCAGUGGUUCUCAACACAGCUGGAC
rnacentral:lncRNA from 1 species